UACAGAGGUGGCAAGCGUUGUUCGGAAUUACUGGGCGUAAAGGGCGCGUAGGCGGUUCGUUAAGUCCUGUGUGAAAUCCCCCGGCUCAACUGGGGAACUGCACAGGAAACUAGCGGGCUUGAGUUCGGGAGAGGGAAGCGGAAUUCCGGGUGUAGCGGUGAAAUGCGUAGAUAUCCGGAGGAACACCGGUGGCGAAGGCGGCUUGCCUGGACCGACCACUGACGCUGAGGCGCGAAAGCU
rnacentral:rRNA from 1 species